GGCGCCAUAGCCAAGUGGUAAGGCACAGGUCUGCAACACCUAAAUCAUCGGUUCAAAUCCGAUUGGCGCCUCCA
rnacentral:tRNA from 1 species